GUUUGAUCAUGGCUCAGAUUGAACGCUGGCGGCAGGCCCUAACACAUNCAAGUCGAACGGUAACAGGAAGAAGCUUGCUUUGCUAGCGAGUGGCGGACGGGUGAGUAAUGUCUGGGAAACUGCCUGAUGGAGGGAUAACUACUGAAACGGUAGCUAAUACCGCAUAACGUCGCAAGACCAAGAGGGGACCUUCGGGCCUCUUGCCAUCGGAUGUGCCCAGAUGGGAUUAGCCUGGUAGGUGGGGUAACGGCUCACCUAGGCGACGAUCCCCUAGCUGGUCUGAGAGGAUGACCAGCCACACUGGAACUGAGACACGGUCCAGCCCUACGGAGGCAGCANNGGGAAUAUUGCACAAUGGGCGCAAGCCUGAUGCAGCCAUGCCGCGUGUAUGAAGAAGGCCUUCGGGUUGUAAAGUACUUUCAGCGGGGAGGAAGGGAGUAAAGUUAAUACCUUUGUUCAUUGACGUUACCCGCAGAAGAAGCACCGGCUAACUCCGUGCCAGCAGCCGCGGUAAUACGGAGGGUGCAAGCGUUAAUCGAAUUACUGGGCGUAAAGCGCACGCAGGCGGUUUGUUAAGUCAGAUGUGAAAUCCCCGGCAACCUGGAACUGCAUCUGAUACUGGCAAGCUUGAGUCUCNGUAGAGGGGUAGAAUUCAGGUGUAGCGGUGAAAUGCGCGAGAUCUGGAGGAAUACCGGUGGCGAGGGCAGCCCCUGGACGAAGACUGACGCUCAGGUGCAGCGUGGGGAGCAAACAGGAUUAGAUACCUGGUAGUCCACGCCGUAAACGAUGUCGACUUGGAGGUUGUGCCCUUGAGGCGUGGCUUCCGGAGCUAACGCGUUAAGUCGACCGCCUGAGUACGGCCGCAAGGUUAAAACUCAAAUGAAUUGACGGGGGCCCGCACAAGCGGUGGAGCAUGGUUUAAUUCGAUGCUACGCGAAGAACUUACCUGGUCUUGACAUCCACGGAAGUUUUCAGAGAUGAGAAUGUGCCUUCGGGAACCGUGAGACAGGUGCUGCAUGGCUGUCGUCAGCUCGUGUUGUGAAAUGUUGGGUUAAGUCCCGCAACGAGCGCAACCCUUAUCCUUUGUUGCCAGCGGUCCGGCCGGGAACUCAAAGGAGACCGCCAGUGAUAAACUGGAGGAAGGUGGGAUGACGGCAAGUCAUCAUGGCCCUUACGACCAGGGCACACGUGCUACAAUGGCACAUACAAAGAGAAGCGACCUCGCGAGAGCAAGCGGACCUCAUAAAGUGCGUCGUAGUCCGGAUUGGUNCGCAACUCGACUCCAUGAAGUCGGAAUCGCUAGUAAUCGUGGAUCAGAAUGCCACGGUGAAUACGUUCCCGGGCCUUGUACACACCGCCCGUCACACCAUGGAGUGGGUUGCAAAAGAAGUAGGUAGCUUAACCUUCGGGAGGGCGCUUACCACUUUGUGAUUCAUGACUGGGGUGAAGUCGUAACAAGGUAACCGUAGGGGAACCUGCGGUUG
rnacentral:rRNA from 1 species